AUUGUUUCACCAAUGCAGCAAAUACCCUUUCUCCCUGCAACAGUUAAGUGAGCCACAGACAGGGACAUUCUUUUUCUUUCUUCUGACACCCCUUGCUAUUUGAAGUCUGAACAUCCUCAGGGUACUUCCAGAGAGAACAAGGAGCUCAGCAGGAGAAUAUGAUCCCCCGUAGAAGAGAAGAGGAGCAUUUCCUGGCUGAACAGCCCAGAGCUCCACCUUUGAGCAGGGUUACACUAACAGAGUACUUCAAAGCACUUUAUAACAUGGAAGGAUUACUCCUCUGUCAGAAUCACUGAGUGGCCAGCAGAGGCAGGCUGAAGCAGAGGGUGGCUAGUGUGAAAGAGCCAGAGACUAAAGCAGCAGCAAGGGGGAGCAGGAGCACAGGCACUGUCAGAACUAUUAGACCAUGGAAGUGCUCCUGGCAGGUAAUGACAUUUAGCAGGCUGGAGAGACCGCUUCUUUUGGGAGCUUAUAUACCUGCCUUGGGAUCACCUGGAUGAAUCCUCGCCUGUGGAUUGGCUGAACCCUCAUUGAAUGGUCUGGGGCCCAUUGCAAGACCUGCAGGUAAUUGCCUCUGAUGAUUCAUCUGGCUUAAGCAGGCUCAGGCUCAUCAAAUCCUCAUAACAUUACAGUGAAGCAGUUGAAUGAGAAGAGAAAUCAAGUGAAGGAAUUCAUUCAGUACUGAAACUCAGGGAUUCAGCUCUGGCAUGGAGCAGAGAAAGAUCAAGAAACUACGUUUAAUAUGUCUACCACACUGUUAGCGCUGUAUGAAAACAGAAUAAAGAUGUUGAUACAAGCA